UCUCCAUCAGGGCCCAAGUCUGUGCGGGUGUCUUCUCCCGCCACCAGCUGCUCACCGUGGAGGAGGCACAGGCACAGAGGCGAGGCCACAGCAGCUCUCCCGCACUGACAACAGCAGGGACAUCGAAGUGGAAGAAGGCCCCGCAGCUGCAGGGGGCAAAUUCCACACAGUCAUCGACUUUCCGUCUGAAAGACCAAGCCACCAGAUGAAGGAACCAGCAGCUGGCAGUUGGUGUUCCUGCUUCAGGCCGAGAAAGCCAUCCUCUGUGGCCAAACGCCAACUGCAGCGCAUGCCAGGGAGCCCUCAGAAACAGAGGUGUGGUCCUGGCAGGCAGAUAUUCGGAGCGUGGGUGUACUGCUGUAUGCUCUGUUGUGUGGUUUUCUUCCUUUUGAUGAUGACAAUGUGAUGGACUCUACAGGAGGAUAACAGUAGGUAUAAAUGGUGCUAGAAUACACUGAGAAGGGACAUGGUUGAGCAUGACAAGAGGCCUUGCUUUUCUGAUGGCAGAACAUGCUGAGCUCUGCUGUGGGUGGAAAGGCCUGGCUGCUGAAUAUUGUCCCUUUUUUGGCUGCUUUGUCUACCAGUAUUUUGUGGAUUUGGUUCUACACUUGGUGCUGUAGCCUGAUUGUAUAAUAUGACAGCAUACAGAGUUUAAGGAGAUUUUCUUGCCAAUGGGCUAGAUUUAUGUCUCUAGACCAUCAACUGGCUGCUCCCAGCACUACCUGUAGUAGAAAUGUAAACACAUUGUUAGAUUUAAUAGAAAUGAAUGUUAUUAAAUGCCAGCUCUUCUCAUGUC
rnacentral:lncRNA from 7 species